rnacentral:rRNA from 1 species
GACGAACGCUGGCGGCGUGCUUAACACAUGCAAGUCGAACGGAAAGGCCCUGCUUGCAGGGUACUCGAGUGGCGAACGGGUGAGUAACACGUGGGUGAUCUGCCCUGCACUUCGGGAUAAGCCUGGGAAACUGGGUCUAAUACCGGAUAGGAGCCAUUUUUAGUGUGAUGGUUGGAAAGUUUUUUCGGUGUAGGAUGAGCUCGCAGCCUAUCAGCUUGUUGGUGGGGUAAUGGCCUACCAAGGCGGCGACGGGUAGCCGGCCUGGGAGGGUGGACGGCCACAUUGGGACUGAGAUACGGCCCAGACUCCUACGGGAGGCAGCAGUGGGGAAUAUUGCACAAUGGGCGCAAGCCUGAUGCAGCGACGCCGCGUGGGGGAUGACGGCCUUCGGGUUGUAAACUCCUUUCGCUAGGGACGAAGCUUUUUGUGACGGUACCUAGAUAAGAAGCACCGGCUAACUACGUG